rnacentral:rRNA from 1 species
UACGUAGGGUGCAAGCGUUGUCCGGAAUUAUUGGGCGUAAAGAGCUUGUAGGCGGUUUGUCGCGUCUGCUGUGAAAUUUCGGGGCUCAACCCCGAACUUGCAGUGGGUACGGGCAGACUAGAGUGUGGUAGGGGAGACUGGAAUUCCUGGUGUAGCGGUGAAAUGCGCAGAUAUCAGGAGGAACACCGAUGGCGAAGGCAGGUCUCUGGGCCACUACUGACGCUGAGAAGCGAUAGCAUGGGGAGCGAACAGG